UUCAGCUUGAAUUCACAAGACGGAGACGCCCGGCCCUCCUUGGCCUCGCCCCGUCGCAACUCGUCUGGCUUGAAAGUGCACUCCUCUUCGCCGGGCCGAGACCCCCGUCCCUCCGCACACGUGCAGUCUGGAAACUCGCUGCCUUCACACGAGAAGGGAGACGAUUUCUCGUCAGCUGACGUGAAGCCGGACCGCAUACGUCCAUUGGCAUUGUGAUGGACGACCUUGAAAUGAACAUCUCCCUCUGACACAUCUUCAUCAGCUUUAAAAACGAUAGCUCAGGACUCUGUGCAUGUAUUGCUGGACUUGCGUGUGUAAUAUUGGAAAUAUUCAGUGAAUGUUUAUGCUUCCAACUGCAUGAAAUACAGACACACCAAUAAACAUGAAAGGUUCAUUUUAA